rnacentral:rRNA from 1 species
CGGCCGCGGUACCCUAACCGUGCAAAGGUAGCAUAAUCAUUUGCCUUUUAAUUGUAGGCUAGUAUGAACGGACAAACGAAAUUCUUACUGUAUCAUUUAUACAUAUAAAAAUUAGAAUUUAGGUGAAGAUACCUAAAUUACCUUGAAAGACAAGAAGACCCUAUAGAGUUUUAGUAAAAAAUCUUCUCAAUACCCAUCUUACUUUGGUUGGGGCGACCUAGGAUUAUUAAAAACAUCCUUUUAAAAUAAGAAUAUAUUAUUCACUCUAAAGACCCUGUAAUUCAGAUUCUUAAAACCAACUACCUUAGGGAUAACAGGCUUAUCUUCCUAAAGAGUUCAAAUUGACAGGAAGGUCUGGCACCUCGAUGUUGGCUUAGAGUAACCUACUAAUGCAAAAGUUAGUUAAGGUCGGUUUGUUCAACCGUUAAAUCUCUACGUGAU